GGAGUACUCUGCAGUAGAUUUUGUCGUGGAGUAGUGAUGACAGAUCAUAAUGAUGAAGUUCUCAAGAUUCUGAAGAAAAACAUAAAGCUGCAGGAAUCUUCAGAUGGUUCUAUGUGUUGUACAGAAUUAAAAGCUGAGAAGCUGGAAUGGGGAAGCUUUGAUCAGCUGAAUUGUAUAUUACAGGAGCACCCAGAAGGAUUUGAUUUAGUCCUUGGAGCUGACAUUUGUUUUCAGCAGGCAAAUGUUCCUUUGCUUUUUGAUACUGUUGAGCGGCUACUUAGAGAUCGUGACCAGAAGAAAUGCAAAUUUAUUUUGGCCUAUGUUUCACGAGCAAAAGUCAUGGAUGCUAUGGUCAUCAAUGAAGCAAUUCGGCAUGGUCUGCAGAUAAAUGAAGUUUCUGGGACUCGGCGUAUUAUCAAGAAUCUUGAAGGAGUUAUAUUUGAGAUUACGACUAAUCACUAGAGUUGGCAAUUGAGAAUGGAGUUUCUUCAGCUCCAUUUGAUUGGAAAACUAUACAGUUUAAG
rnacentral:misc_RNA from 1 species